rnacentral:misc_RNA from 1 species
AAUAAUAAUAAUAAUAAUACACAACCAGCCACCUAACAUGUUUUAUAACCAGAGAACCAAUACUUUCUUCUUUUUACUUUAAAGUUUCCUUAUGAAAUUAAAGAUAAAAAUCAAUUACAAAGAUUUUAAGAAUAACUUAAUUAUGUUUUAGACUUCUUUAAGAAUAUUAGAAUUUUGUGUCGACCUCUAUUUAAAAAACUUAGAAAGAAUCCUAAAUCCUUGACUGAUGAACAUACUAAAAUAAUUAAGCUCAUAGAACAGAAAGUUCAUUAUCUCUCUUGUUUCUCUAUUCACCAUCCAAAUGCUUUUUUUAUUGUUGAAACCGAUGCUUUUAAUAUAGGAGCUAGGGGUAUUCUUAAACAAUGUUUACCUAAUCAAACUAAAGAAUCUUUAUUUAGAUACCUUCUGGAGCAUGGCAUUACUGAAUUAAAUUGAAAAGGCGAAGAUGAAUGAAUUGGCCGAGGCAAGAG